GGCCCACGGCGACAGGCGUUACAAAAGCGCAAAGGAGUCGGCACGGCUCGCUCCGAAAUCUGUUUCUGAAAGAAGCAUAUGCCACCAGUGACUGAAGCUUUGGGCUCCAGCAGAACAAAAUACCGAAGGACAUUUGGAUCAUUUCUGCCCAUGCCGAAGGAAGCCGUAGGCUAGGGUAUGAACGAUUAUCUUUUGAGACUCGUUUCACUGUAUGUCACCAGGCACAAUUUUAUGACUAAAGAAACCAAACCUUCAGGCAGAAGGUCCAGAAGAGAUACAGUCAAAAACCCUGGAAGCUCCCUGUCCGCACUGCCAUCAAGACAUACCAAAUGAAGCUUUUAGGCCUUCAGUCUCCCCCAGCUGCUUAGUCAUGGCAGAUUCUAUGAGGUAAAUUGCUGAAUUCAGGAAGACAAUAUAAAGGCUUACAUGUACAAAUUCAAUUUUAAACCUAAGCCCUUUGCACUUCAAGCUCAACUGAAAUUCUGUACUGGUAGGGUGUUCCAAUCCUGAUGGACAGAACACAUCGUUCUGAAGUGCAGCUUUGCUGGCGAGUUUCCAGAGAUGUUUCUUGCAGUCAUCCUCGGCUGAAUAAAAGAUGAGGAAAGGCCAUAAGGGUGACAACCAAUACAAGUGGUAAGCGCAACAAAUUCUUAUGCUGCAGGCCCAGCUACUGAAUAAGUCAUACAUACCGUAUAUUUCAGAACAGUAGAAGAUCCUUCAGUUUAUGAAGCACUGGAAACAUGACGAAUAUAUACAAGGACCUGUAAGGAAUUCACUAGGCUACUUCCUGUUCUCCACCUGUCCUCCUACCUACUUGCAUCCACACAGUCUGCUGUAAUUAAGUAACCGUCUUGCUUGUAUCAGUGUUAAUCAAUAGAAAAAAAACUCAUGUGAAAACUUUAGUUGGGCAAGGAAGGGAAACUCUACAGCAAAUCUGUGGCGAUUCUGAAGCAAAAAGCAAUAUUAUUAUUAUUAUUGUGUAAUUAUGUUAGGUAGUUACAGCAAUGGCUUACUGUGACUUACCAUCAUA